rnacentral:rRNA from 1 species
CAAGUCGAGGGGUAACAGGGAUUGCUUGCAAUCCGCUGACGACCGGCGCACGGGUGCGUAACGCGUAUACAAUCUACCUUGUACUGAGGGAUAGCCCAGAGAAAUUUGGAUUAAUACCUCAUAGUAUUAUAUCUCGGCAUCGAGUUUAUAAUUAAAGAUUACGGUAUAAGAUGGGUAUGCGUCCUAUUAGUUAGUUGGUAAGGUAACGGCUUACCAAGACAACGAUAGGUAGGGGCCCUGAGAGGGGGAUCCCCCACACUGGUACUGAGACACGGACCAGACUCCUACGGGAGGCAGCAGUGAGGAAUAUUGGACAAUGGGCGAGAGCCUGAUCCAGCCAUGCCGCGUGCAGGAAGACGGCCCUAUGGGUUGUAAACUGCCUUUUUACGGGAAGAAACACUCCCUCGUGAGGGAAUUUGACGGUACCGUACGAAUAAGGACCGGCUAACUCCGUGCCAGCAGCCGCGGUAAUACGGAGGGUCCGAGCGUUAUCCGGAAUCAUUGGGUUUAAAGGGUCCGUAGGCGGGCAGCUCAGUCAGUGGUGAAAGUCUGCAGCUCAACUGUAGAAUUGCCAUUGAUACUGGUUGUCUUGAAUUAUUAUGAAGUGGUUAGAAUAUGUAGUGUAGCGGUGAAAUGCAUAGAUAUUACAUAGAAUACCAAUUGCGAAAGCAGA